ACAGCUGCCGGCAUGGAGCUCAGAUCGGUCCAGCGGCAUUCCGCGUCUCGCCACCCCCGGCCGUCCGCGCCUCCCCGGCGGCUUCAGCCUCCCUGAUUUCACCGCGGAGGACCAAUGAGGGCCGAGUCGGACCUUCCCCGUGGGGCCGUGCUCCCGUUGCUCCGCUCCCUCCGCGUGGGCCCAGGGCGGGAAGAAGAGGUUGCCUUUUAAUCCUAGCAGGCUGUUCAGGUGAUUCCAUCACCUACAAGAGGAUUUGUCCGUGGACAAGUACUUUUGCCUGUCUCAAAGGACUAGCCAGUUGGCCUACGUUUGUGGAAUACCAUAAAACACCAAGAAGAAAAAAUAGGAAGUUAAGCCUGGCUUCAACAGAAUUCUGGUCAUGAUAGACCAGAUUCAAAUCACUUGACUUUAGCUGAAUGAAUCACCAUGGUGGGAAAGGGAGGAUUACCUGGAUCUAGGAGUCUCCUGUCCUCUGACUUGGAAAGCCUCAGGGGCCUUGGCUUCUAGAGGGGGAGGAAAAACUCCUGCCUUAGCUUAGCCUAAAAACAUUCUCCUGCGUCUGUCAUUCACUGCCACGCUAGGACAAGUCCUAGGAGACUUCCAUCUGAGUUAUGAAACCAUUAUGACGCUGUAGCAUUUAUUUCCAUUUGGAAUAAAUUGUUUUAGAAGAAUUUGUUAAAUUUAGAAUAUAGUAUCCUAUCAAAAUGUUUGGAAAAUAUGGACUGCUCCAAGAUCAGUCCACAAAAAAAGCCCCUAGCUUGGCCCAUAACAAAUUGUAUUGAUGACAUUGUUUCUAAAUUAAUUCUGUAAUGCUUAGAAA